rnacentral:lncRNA from 1 species
AGCGCUGAUGAGGAGGUGUGGCAGGGAGGUGAGUGAGAGUCAGCCUGAGAAACACAGAAGAGGGUGACAAUUUUAUGCUUUUAUGCGAUCUUGUAUGCAGAAAUUUUUUCAUUUUUCGUUUACCUACUUCUCUCUGAAAUGAAAAUUUGGCUUUUACUCUUGCUGCCGUUCAGAAAAAGGGGGGAAUUCAUUUUUUGCCUUUUGUCGGAGGAUGAUGCGGUAGGUGUCAGGAUCCAGGAACAAAGAAGAAAGAAAAUAGCCCCUUUGUUUGAUAGAGGUUUGACACCGAAACGUCGCACAAUUAAAGAUUUAUUUAUUUAUUUAUUAUUUGCAAGUUGGCCAGUGUACAGCAGUUAUGGCUGCCGUGAAAACCAGACCAGUGGAAUUUUCUUUUAUGAUAGUAAAAACUAGGCGGAUAUGAUAAUGACAAAAAGGAUCAGUAUGACUACUGAAUAUCUGGCUGUAUGCUUUUGCUUAUUGUUUUCACUGCAGAUCCACACUGACUCAAACUUGCGUAUGCGUAAAUGCUGAUCCUCACGUCAAAAUUGUGGUACACAAGGUGUACGCUAGUUUUCUGCCGUACGCAAGCUUGAUAAAUGAGGGCCAAUGUAUGUAAACGUGUCAUAGACUGAUGCUGCCUAUUGAAGCUCAUGUAUCAGCGCGGCUGCCAUCUUGGAUGGGUCUCUCAUGCUCUUCCUUUGCAUUUAUUCCUGUUGAGAAAGGAAGGAGUGCCCAAGUAUAUUAAUCCUAAUCUUCGAAUUUCUGCCCAGUUUUUGCACAGUUUAGUUUUGUCACAAAAAGCAGGGAUGUAGCUAUAAUACAGGAAAUUGUCACACAUUAAAAAUACCCCCCAAUUUUUUUUAAAUGUAACCUAUGUGACCUGCUUUCAAUACUGUGUCAGUUUUUGCAACCAUAGCAUGCACAUAAAACAGGCAUAGCUGUUCAUUUUCGGUUAACUCUAUUUGGCUCUGGUGCAAGUCCAGAAUGGGGACACCCAUCCAUUAUGGUGUCGAGCAUGGAUUACACUCCAGCACGUAAUGAGGUGUCUAGGUAUAUUAUGUCUAUGAUUUUUCCAUCCAAAUGUAAUGAACUCAGGAAGAGUUAAAAUCCUGAAAUUUGUGGCAACCAUAAAUAACCAUAAAUUUUCACCUAAAUUUUGGAGAGCAAAUGUUAGGAAGAUUACAAAUGGAUGUCCUAGUUCUUGUUAACACAGUAUCUCAGCAAUGCAGGGAGAAAUAAAUGGUAUCCUCUCGCAAAAAUUGUUGAAUUCUUCUGUUGAUGAAUGUGGUGCAACUCAUUUGUAGAAUAUGGGGCAAUUUUUGUUUUAGGCCAAUUUAUUAUUUUCAAUAAAUCUAACCCACAAACAUGUCCCAUGCCAGCCAGAGUUACACUCCUUCUCUAAAGGAAACGCUGUAAGAUGGGAAGCUGCUACCCAACUGGUCCGUGGAGGCAUACAACCAAUUAUCCUAACAAAGAAUCAGAAAAGACAGAUACAGACAAGUGAAGUCUUUAUCUCUGUGUCAUCAGGACAGCUACACAGAUACAAACUGAAAAAGUCCACUCGAUCUUUGCGUGGGCUUCAUGUGUGUUUCUUUCCUGACCUGCUUUGUUUCACCAGAUUACAUCACAGCGUUUCAGGUCAAGCUUAGUCUGUGUGUUGCACACAGGUUUGUGAAAGUGUGUAUCCUGACCUGUUUUGUUGCAUUAAAUAAGGCCAAUGAUGACAACAUAGAUGACAAAGUCCACCACAGAUCUGUGUUUGCAGAUGUGUGUUUAUGGAGGAGGAUAAUUCAGGUGUAGUUAUCUGAAACCCUCCUGUUAAAGACCCGUACUUUCCCCCUCUGUUCUGCUCUCUUUUCCAUGUCACUCUUGAGUUAUUCACUCUCUUCUUUUUCUGUUUCUCCAAUCAGGUGGUCAAACAUCCUGGAGUCACCAGCUCAGAUCGCACACAUCUCACUUUCUCUCUUCAUGCCUGGCUGAGAACAUUUUAGAGAGGACUCCCAUCUUCCUCCCUACUUCCCCCUCUGGGUGUAAAACACUUUGUUAAUCCACUGUUUUACUAAUCGAGAUGAUUGCUACCCUCGUUUUCUCUCCCUUAUGCCCAGCACGCUGUCGCCAGUUGAACACAUCCAGAAUGCUGAUGAUGCAUGUUAAUGUCAGUUUGCAGCUGAGAAGAGAGAGAGAGAGAGAGUGUGCACACGCGUGCAUGGGUGCGUGUGUGUGCACCAAGAGUGGACCUACCCUUGAUUACGCACUCACUCACCG